rnacentral:rRNA from 1 species
CGAAUACGAGACGCUACGGCGUCGAAGUAGUGUAUGUCACACUUCCAAGAAAAGCUUGCACUGUCAUAAAUAAAAACUGCCUGUACCAUAACCGACACAGGUGGGUAGGUAGAGUAUACUAAGGGGCGCGAGAUAACUCUCUCUAAGGAACUCGGCAAAAUAACUCCGUAACUUCGGGAGAGGGAGUGCCUUGUUUACAUAAGGUUGCAAUAACAAGAUCCAAGCAACUGUUUACCAAAAACACAGGUCUCCGCUAAGUCGUAAGACGAUGUAUGGGGGCUGACUCCUGCCCAGUGCCAGAAGGUUAAAGAAGUUGGUUAGCAUCUGCGAAGCUGAUAACUGAAGCCCUGGUGAACGGCGGCCGUAACGAUAACGGUCCUAAGGUAGCGAAAUUCCUUGUCGGGUAAGUUCCGACCCGCACGAAAGGCGUAAUGAUUUGGAUACUGUCUCGGAGAGGGGCUCGGUGAAAUAGACUUGUCUGUGAAGAUGCGGACUACCUGCACCUGGACAGAAAGACCCUAUGAAGCUUUACUGUAACUUGAAAUUGAAAUUGGACUUUAUUCGCGCAGCAUAGGUGGGAGGCUUUGAAGAUACUCUUGCGGGAGUAUUCGAGCUAUCAGUGAGAUACCACUCUUAUAAUGUUAGAUUUCUAACUUUGAACCAUUAUCUGGUCAAAGAACAGUUUCAGGCGGGCAGUUUGACUGGGGCGGUCGCCUCCUAAACGGUAACGGAGGCGUACAAAGGUUUCCUCUGAACGGAUAGAAAUCGUAUCUAGAGUAUAAAGGCAUAAGGAAGCUUGACUGUGAGACCUACAAGUCGAGCAGGGACGAAAGUCGGUCUUAGUGAUCUGACGGUACUGAGUGGAAAGGCCGUCACUCAACGGAUAAAAGUUACUCUAAGGAUAACAGGCUGAUCUCCCCCAAGAGUUCACAUCGACGGGGAGGUUUGGCACCUCGAUGUCGGCUCAUCGCAUCCUGGGGCGGUAGUACGUCCCAAGGGUUGGGCUGUUCGCCCAUGAAAGCGGUACGCGAGCUGGGUUCAGAACGUCGUGAGACAGUUCGGUCCAUAUCCGGUGUAGGCGUUAGAAUAUUGAGAGGAGCCUUCUCUAGUACGAGAGGACCGAGAAGGACAUACCUCUGGUGUACCAGUUAUCGUGCCAACGGUAAACGCUGGGUAGCUAUGUAUGGAGUGGAUAACCGCUGAAAGCAUCUAAGUGGGAAGCCCACCUCAAGAUAAG